CCUACGGGAGGCAGCAGUGAGGAAUAUUGGUCAAUGGGCGCGAGCCUGAACCAGCCAAGUCGCGUGAGGGAGGACGGCCCUACGGGUUGUAAACCUCUUUUGCCGGGGAGCAACGGGCGUAACGUGUGGCGCCACUGAGAGUACCCGGAGAAAACGCAUGGGCUAACUCCGUGCCAGCAGCCGCGGUAAUACGGAGGGGGCAAGCGUUAUCCGGAUUUACUGGGUGUAAAGGGAGCGUAGACGGCGAUGCAAGUCUGAAGUGAAAGGCGGGGGCCCAACCCGCGAACUGCUUUGGAAACUGGAUGGCUGGAGUGCAGGAGAGGUAAGUGGAAUUCCUGGUGUAGCGGUGAAAUGCGUAGAUAUUAGGAGGAACACCAGUGGCGAAGGCGGCUUACUGGACUGUAACUGACGUUGAGGCUCGAAAGCGUGGGGAGCAAACAGGAUUAGAUACCCCUGUAGUC
rnacentral:rRNA from 1 species